CUAGUAUGAGGGUACCCUGCUACAGCAGCACUGAAGAUACAGAAACUAAGAUUUCAGCAAGUGAUAUACUGAGAGGAGAACAGGAAUCAAAUCUUGUAAAAGGAUGUUCUUGUAAAUACUUGUCCUGUGUCUUCACUGGGUUGAGAGAAGACAGAUGACAGAAGAUUUGGGACAGUAGCCUGUGGUGCUCCUAGAGAUAGAUCCAACUGCCUGUAGCCAGUAUGAUAGAGUGACGAUGCAGAAGAAGUCUUACCUGCUGCACUGGCAGAAUUUCAGGAUGAUGAACCCCUCCUUUCUCCAGACCUGUGCAGGAAUCUGCCACUGUUUGGCCACAUCUCGAAACAGACUGAGCAAAGGACUGCUGAGAUGCACAGGUGGGAGCACCAGUCCUCCUCUUGCACCUGCGGUGCCCUGGUUGGGAAUGGAGAUAUUGUAGGAGAGGAACCCUGCAUUUGGUGGUGGCUAAGAAGAGGUAGGUGUCUUUGGCAAGCAGUGAAGUCUUUCUGUUCUUCAGGGAUGUAUAUACCAAAAUAAUCUUCUGUAUUUUUAGGAGAAAAGUCUCUGUUCUGACCUCAAUACAGGAAAGCUCACCCCCAAACUCCUGCUUGAUGUUCUCUGACUUGGAGCCAGG
rnacentral:lncRNA from 1 species